GUCUACUGCCAUGCCACCCUGAAUGCGCCUGAUCUCCUCUGAUCUCGGAAGCUAAGUAGGGUUGGGCCUGGUUAGUACUUGGAUGGGAGCUAAAACUCAACCAUUCAAAUCCCGGCUAGUGAUUU
ensembl:rRNA 5S_rRNA 5S ribosomal RNA